rnacentral:rRNA from 1 species
UACGAAGGGUGCAAACGUUGCUCGGAAUUAUUGGGCGUAAAGCGCACGUAGGCGGCUUUGCAAGUCGGAUGUGAAAUCCCUCGGCUUAACCAAGGAAGUGCAUCCGAAACUGCAGAGCUUGAGUACUUAAGAGGAUCGCGGAAUUCCCGGUGUAGAGGUGAAAUUCGUAGAUAUCGGGAGGAACACCAGUGGCGAAGGCGGCGAUCUGGGAAGAUACUGACGCUGAGGUGCGAAAGCGUGGGUAGCAAACAGG